rnacentral:rRNA from 1 species
CACCGCGGUUAUACGAAAGGCCCGAGUUGAUGGUCACCGGCGUAAAGAGUGAUUAUAGCAUGUUAAAAUAACUAAAGCCAAAGCCCUUCCCGGCUGUCAUACGCACCCGAAGGCAUGAGGCCCCUACACGAAAGUAGCUUUAACCACAAGACCCCUAGAACUCACGACAGCCAAGACA